CCUACGGGCGGCAGCAGUGGGGAAUAUUGCACAAUGGGGGAAACCCUGAUGCAGCGACGCCGCGUGAGUGAAGAAGUAAUUCGUUAUGUAAAGCUCUAUCAGCAGGGAAGAAAAUGACGGUACCUGAGUAAGAAGCCCCGGCUAACUACGUGCCAGCAGCCGCGGUAAUACGUAGGGGGCAAGCGUUAUCCGGAUUUACUGGGUGUAAAGGGAGCGUAGACGGCAUGGCAAGUCUGGAGUGAAAGGGGGGGGCUCAACCCCCGGACUGCUCUGGAAACUGUACGGCUGGAGUGCAGGAGAGGUAAGUGGAAUUCCUAGUGUAGCGGUGAAAUGCGUAGAUAUUAGGAGGAACACCAGUGGCGAAGGCAGCUUACUGGACUGUAACUGACGUUGAGGCUCGAAAGCGUGGGGAGCAAACAGGAUUAGAUACCCCUGUAGUC
rnacentral:rRNA from 1 species